GUUGGAAGCUUGCAGAAAAAUUUCUAUCAUGACGAAAGGCGCCUUGCUGCAGUGAUUAUUUCUGAUGAAGACGGAACAAUAAAUGUGGAGGGAGUUAUUGGACCUAACCUGAAAAUAAAACCUACUGAAAGCGCUGAACGCUCUGAAAAUGGACGUAGGGCACAUAUCAUAGAAGCCAUUGAAGACGGCGAUCCUGUCCAUAUUUAUGGUAAACUAAGGGAAGAUGAAGUUAAAGUCCAUGAGCGGGCCGCCAGUGGGAAAACUGGUUUUGAUUCAUCAAAGUACAACGUGCAAAUUAUUUAUCCCGAAAUAUUUUUUGUAUGCGACACAUGGUUUCGCAGUGGAUUUCGCACCAAUGAGAGCAUGAUAACGUAUUUGAUGAUCACCCUUAAAGUCGUGAACUUACGGUACCGCACGGUUCACUCACCUAAGAUUCAGCUUGUGUUGCGAGGAAUCGAACUGAGCCAUUGGACCCAGGAACACAAGUAUUAUAAGUACGUCGGAGGUGACGACAUAGAUGGCUACCAGUCACUUCAAAAUCUUGUCAAGUUUUUGAAUGCGACCAAUGAUAGAUACAAAUUAUUUGAUUUGGUAUACUUCGUAACAGGGUACGACAUGAUUAUACUACAGAGCUCUAGAAGAGAGGAGAGUCUUGGAGGCUACGCAUUUGUGGCAUCCGUCUGCACUGACCACCGGGUGCAGCUUGGCGAAGACAAGGCAAACACAGUACAAAGGGAUUCGCAUCACAGCACACGAAGUGGCGCACACGUUGGGAUGCUCGCAUGACGGCACGUCUGCUCCUGGUCUCGCGAAAACAUUUGUACCCGACUCUUUAGGAUGUCCAUGGGAUGACGGCUACAUUAUGAGCUACAAGGAAGAAGACAGCAGGAGUAUGAAGUUCUCUUCUUGCUGCCAGUACGAUAUGGCCCGGAUGUCAUGGUCAUAUGAGGGCUGGUGUUUGCAUACAAACGAUUCCAAGGUGAUGCCCCUUAACUGGAAGAAUCCUUACAGACUACCUGGGGAAUUUUUGAACAGAGAUGCGCAAUGCAGACUUACGUACCCUGAGCUCUACAGAACUCACUAUAUAAGAAACAUGGGGUCCUGGAACUGCAUGGUUUAUUGCUUUGUACCAGGAGAUCAGUAUGGAGGAGCUGAUUAUCGCUGGCCUAUGUACCUUAUAGAUGGGAGCCCUUGCGGGCCGCAAAAUCGCAGUGUAUGAACUCGCUCCACCUGUGAUCAAUGUUUUCGGAUUGAUAAUUUCAUAG
rnacentral:lncRNA from 1 species